AAAUUGGCCACCAAUGGCACCAACCACAAACUAUAGUAGGAAAAAGCUUUUAGUUGGGGCGACUACGGAGAAAAACAAAACCUCCACGAACCAGGAUUCCAUCCAAUAUAGGCCGACGGGCCAAAAUUAACGCACUUUGACCCAGCCAAGCUGAUCGACGAACCAAGUUACCCCGGGGAUAACAGCGCCAUCCUCUUUCAGAGUCCCUAUCGCCAAGAGGGCUUACGACCUCGAUGUUGGAUCAGGGCCCCCAGGCAGUGCAGCCGCCGCCAAAGGUUCGUUUGUUCAACGACUAACGCCCUACGUGAUCU
rnacentral:rRNA from 1 species